AUGGCGAUGGCGCCGAGGAGGCGGACGCUGCUCAAGGUCAUCGUCCUCGGCGACAGCGGGGUCGGCAAGACGUCGCUGAUGAACCAGUAUGUGAACAAGAAGUUCAGCCAGCAGUACAAGGCGACCAUCGGCGCCGACUUCCUCACCAAGGAGGUCCUCAUCGAGGACAGGCUCGUCACCUUGCAGAUUUGGGAUACGGCAGGGCAGGAGAGGUUCCAGAGCCUCGGCGUGGCCUUCUACAGGGGAGCCGACUGCUGCGUGCUAGUCUACGACGUCAAUGUCAAAAGAACAUUCAACACGCUUGGCACCUGGCAUGACGAGUUCAUCAACCAGGCCGGCCCAUCAGACCCCAAGCAAUUCCCCUUCAUUUUGGUCGGGAACAAGGUCGAUCUGGACGCUGGAAGCAGACGAGUGGUUCCUGAGAAGAAAGCAAAAGACUGGUGCGUCUCCAAGGGCGACAUUCCGUACUUCGAAACCUCGGCCAAGGACGACUACAAUGUCGACCCCGCUUUCCUGUGCAUCGCCAAGCUCGCCUUGGAGCAUGAGCACGAUCAAGACAUCUACUUCAAUUCAGUUGCAGAACAAGGCCCUAAAACCGAAGGACAGACGAGCGGAUGCGCGUGCUAG
rnacentral:rRNA from 1 species